rnacentral:rRNA from 1 species
UACGUAGGGAGCAAGCGUUAUCCGGAAUUAUUGGGUGUAAAGGGUGCGUAGACGGGAAAUUAAGUUAGUUGUGAAAUCCCUCGGCUCAGCUGAGGAACUGCAACUAGAACUGAUUUUCUUGAGUGCAGGAGAGGAAAGUGGAAUUCCUAGUGUAGCGGUGAAAUGCGUAGAUAUUAGGAGGAACACCAGUGGCGAAGGCGACUUUCUGGACUGUAACUGACGUUGAGGCACGAAAGUGUGGGGAGCAAACAGG